rnacentral:rRNA from 1 species
CCUACGGGAGGCAGCAGUGGGGAAUAUUGCACAAUGGGGGAAACCCUGAUGCAGCAACGCCGCGUGAAGGAAGACGGUUUUCGGAUUGUAAACUUCUGUUCUUAGUGAAGAAUAAUGACGGUAGCUAAGGAGCAAGCCACGGCUAACUACGUGCCAGCAGCCGCGGUAAUACGUAGGUGGCAAGCGUUGUCCGGAAUUACUGGGUGUAAAGGGAGCGCAGCCGGGAAGACAAGUCAGAUGUGAAAUCCCGCGGCUCAACCGCGGAACUGCAUUUGAAACUGUUUUUCUUGAGUACCGGAGAGGUCAUCGGAAUUCCUUGUGUAGCGGUGAAAUGCGUAGAUAUAAGGAAGAACACCAGUGGCGAAGGCGGAUGACUGGACUGUAACUGACGUUGAGGCUCGAAAGCGUGGGGAGCAAACAGGAUUAGAUACCCGUGUAGUC